UACGGGGGGGGCGAGCGUUGUUCGGAAUCACUGGGCGUAAAGGGCGCGUAGGCGGCCCGCACAAGUCUGCGGUGAAAACCCCCGGCUUAACCGGGGGCCGGCCGUGGAGACUGUCGGGCUGGAGGCUGGGAGAGGGCAGCGGAAUUCCCGGUGUAGCGGUGAAAUGCGUAGAGAUCGGGAGGAACACCGGCGGCGAAGGCGGCUGCCUGGACCAGUCCUGACGCUGAGGCGCGAAAGCUAGGGGAGCAAACAGG
rnacentral:rRNA from 1 species